rnacentral:tRNA from 1 species
UGAUAAUUAGUUUAAACCAAAACAAAUGAUUUCGACUCAUUAGACUAUAGCUAGCACUAUAAUUAUCAA